rnacentral:rRNA from 12 species
UGGAUGGCGCUCAAGCGGACCACCGAUGCGCGGCCGCCGGCGAGAGCGGUGGCGCGCCGGCGAGUGUGAUGGC